rnacentral:lncRNA from 1 species
UUAUCUCUUUCCACCGUCACCAGCUCCUCCGAACUGGCCCUCGGUCAAGGGUUUCACAGUGAUGUGGAAUGGCUUUUCCACAGUCGAAUCGCAUAUCUUCGGAGUGGGUUCAGACCGACUUGUGCUGUCUCUGGGGCCACCCUGAGUGGGAGGAGGGGGACACAUAAACGAAACGAAACCGAGUCCCAGUGUCACCUGGAC